rnacentral:rRNA from 1 species
GACAGAGGUGGCAAGCGUUGUUCGGAUUCAUUGGGUGUAAAGGGUGCGUAGGCGGUUUAGUAAGUCAGGUGUGAAAGCCCACAGCUUAACUGUGGAAAUGCACCUGAAACUACUAGACUUGAGUGCGAGAGAGGUGAAGGGAAUUCCCGGUGUAAGGGUGAAAUCUGCAGAGAUCGGGAGGAACACCAGUAGCGAAGGCGCUUCACUGGCUCGUAACUGACGCUGAGUGCACGAAGGCGUGGGGAGCAAACGGG